rnacentral:lncRNA from 1 species
GACAGCAGCUAAUGCUUGUUCUGUAAUUUCUGUAGAUGUUGUUUUUUGGACAGCAACAAAUUUAGCCGGUGAUGUUUGAGCAGCAGCAGCUUCGGCAGUGACUUGCUGGACAGCAGGUGCUGUUUGGACAGCAGCAGGGGAUGCAGAAGUUGGACAGUAAUUGUUGUCCCUGUUUUCAGCAACUUGGACAGCAACAAAUUCUGGACGUUUGACAGCAG